rnacentral:lncRNA from 1 species
GAUCACUUUAAGACCCUAAAUAAAAGGCAGACAGCUCCACUCAAAAACUGAGGCUGAUGUGAGGGAGGUGAGAGGUCACUGCACUUGGUACUUCCUAGAGAUGGCCAGAGCCAGGCCCAAGACACGGCAGAGAUCAAAGGCAGUAGAGAGCCCUGGCCGGUUCAAUGACCGCUUCUGGCUAAAGACUUUUGGUUCUAUUCAGAAACCUGUGUUGUUUUUUUUUGAUGUUGUAGUUUAUUUUGUGAUUUUUGGAAUCAUACUUUAUAUUUCCAAAUUUAAAUUUAAAUGCAAGAUCUUUCACCAUAAACAGAAGAUACCUACAAAAUACUGUCAGAAGUCCAGGUAUACUGAUAACACUGAAAAUUCUAUUAGCAACCUUCUGGGUUGCUUAGAUUGAUUUUAAUGUAUAUAUUAGACAUUUGUAUGUAUGCUCUGACAUUGUGAUAUGUACAGCCUACAUUGGGGUAAGAAAAUGGGUAUCCAAGGUCCUACUUUUUUAAUAGCUCGAAUAUUUCUAGAGUACUUGAGCCACGUGUAUUUCUGUAUUUAAAGAAUUGCUGACUAACUUUCAGGUAACCAGACCCAUCUCAAAGAACCAAGAAAAGGCUUUAGCAUGAAAUAUCUUUCUGAGCUGGUGAGUUAGAAGAAUGGAAGGUAAGGGGAAGGUCUGUCAUCUACCAGGACAUUCCCAUGAUGAGUACAGGUCAGACUGUGCCAUGAGGUGGGCCUCCAGGUCCCCGCCCUGGCCCUCUUUCUUCUGUCACUAACCCUGGUUAUCAUUUUACAGGCUUGUAACUGGAUGUUCUACCAGAGCUCUCACUAUAUUGUCAAGCCUAAGAUUGAAAAACUGGAGGCUUUAUUAGUGUUUUUUAUAUAGAAAACAGUUAUUACAUAUUUGUUAAGUCAAGUCAUUUCUUAAGAAUUUUCUAAAAUGCCAACUAUCACAGGAUUAUUUCAAGCUAGUCAUUGAGGUAUAUGACAAAAUGUAAAUAACAAAAAACUGAAAUCUACCAAAAGAGCAUGGAGGUUUUUCUUAAGUAAUAAUAUUGUGCUCUCCACCUCACCCUUGUGUAAACCCUCGGGUCAGGUUGGUUCCCCUGGGUCACAAAAUGGUAAAUGUUCCAUACUGACAUGCGAGAGGCAGCCUGACCCGUUACUUGGAAAGAAUUUGUGAAUCAUUUCUGGGUUUGUGUUUUGCCUAAGAGCUGAUCUUAUUUCUGAUUUGUGUGUGUGUGGUUUAUAAAUUUUACUAUGUGUAACAAAAGUCUGCUUUUCCAGCAUGAGCACGCUGAAGCCCUCUGCUCACUGGCACUUCCUGACUCAAAGGCACUAACAGUGCUCAUGUGCCUUCCAGGUGGUUCAAGGCAGAGGCCACUGUGCUCAGUGUAGUCUGUGAUGAAUAGUUUAAGUGUUCAGAAAUUGGUAAACCAACGCAUGGGAUACAGUAACUCUCUGUUAACCAGAACACCGUCAUUUGACCAAGCCCUACAAGAGUUUACCACACUAGACGUUCUGUGAAUCCUCGAGUCAGUUCCAUUGAGAGGGGCCUGUCUCCAGGGCCAGGCUAUUUACUUGGGAAAGUAUUUUUCUUACAGUUCUUGGCCACAGUGUUUUUGCUGAGGGUUUCUGUCUGGGCUUAUCAGGUCCAUACUUAGACCCUGAGCAUCUUCUUCAUUCAGAUUUGAAUGGCGUAUUAAAUUAGCACCAAAUAUCAGUGGGACUGUAGGAGGUAACCGAACACUAGUGCCAUUGACUCUCAUUGAAUAACUUUAUAUUUCCAUAAUCCUGAAUUGUAUAGAUAAGUUUUCUAGCUCUCUGGUCCCUUUAUUGCUUUUUAAAAUAGGGUUUGAAACAUGCCACAGGAAGGUUGCUCUCCAAAAAUACACAGUGCAGUGCAAAAAAAA